rnacentral:rRNA from 1 species
GAUGAACGCUAGCGGCAGGCUUAACACAUGCAAGUCGAGGGGUAUAGCACUUCGGUGCUAGAGACCGGCGCACGGGUGCGUAACGCGUAUGCAAUCUACCUUUCACAGAGGGAUAGCCCAGAGAAAUUUGGAUUAAUACCUCAUAGCAUAACGACCUGGCAUCAGGAUGUUAUUAAAGUCACAACGGUGAAAGAUGAGCA